rnacentral:rRNA from 1 species
GAAUGCUGACAUAAGUAACGAUAAUGCGGGUGAAAAACCCGCACGCCGGAAGACCAAGGGUUCCUGUCCAACGUUAAUCGGGGCAGGGUGAGUCGACCCCUAAGGCGAGGCCGAAAGGCGUAGUCGAUGGGAAACAGGUUAAUAUUCCUGUACUUGGUGUUACUGCGAAGGGGGGACGGAGAAGGCUAUGUUAGCCGGGCGACGGUUGUCCCGGUUUAAGCAUGUAGGCGGAGGUUCCAGGUAAAUCCGGUACCUUUUUAACGCUGAGGUGUGAUGACGAGGCACUACGGUGCUGAAGUAACAAAUGCCCUGCUUCCAGGAAAAGCCUCUAAGCAUCAGGUAACACGAAAUCGUACCCCAAACCGACACAGGUGGUCAGGUAGAGAAUACCAAGGCGCUUGAGAGAACUCGGGUGAAGGAACUAGGCAAAAUGGUGCCGUAACUUCGGGAGAAGG